rnacentral:rRNA from 1 species
UACGAAGGGGGCUCGCGUUGCUCGGAAUCACUGGGCGUCAAGCGCACGUAGGCCGAUUGUUAAGUCAGGGGUGAAAUCCUGGAGCUCAACUCCAGAACUGCCCUUGAUACUGACGGUCUCGAGUCCGGGAGAGGUGAGUGGAACUGCGAGUGUAGAGGUGAAAUUCGUAGAUAUUCGCAAGAACACCAGUGGCGAAGGCGGCGCACUGGCCCGAUACUGACGCUGAGGCACGAAAGCGUGGGGAGCAAACGGG